CUUUCUCUCUUCUUCUUUUUCUUCUUCUUGUAAAGAAGCCAUGGCUGGUAAUUGCAACAGCAAAGCCUCGUGAUGGACUGACAUGCAUGCGCAUUAAUUUGGGGUUUUACGCAGCAUGCAAUCAAUGAAACUUCUUCACCUGUAUAUAGGAGGCAGAGAGGGAGGGGGGAUCGCAUUUAUCAACGCUUAGUGGAAUCGAUCACCCACUCAUUACUCAAUCACAAACUGGUGUCUGAAGGUGGGAACAUGGGUGCUUGACUACGAACACAAGAGUCCAAGAGAACGCAGCUUGGGUUUAUUGAAGCAGAUACAGCAGCUAAGAGGGACAUCUCAUGCAAGUUCCUUCUGCCCCAUCUCUAGCACUAUAUACAGUUUGAUAACAUUAAAUAAUGGAGAUAUAUGUAAUAUAGUAAUGCUGAGGUUUUGGACGCUCAAUGGUUUUGGCCAUUGUUUUUUUUUUAUUAUUAACGUUGAUGUUCGAGCCAGUUUGCGUGCACCUUGACUAAUUCUACGGGUGCUGAAGUUAACGACUAUGUAAGUCUCCAGUAGUCCUGAGGUUUGUAAAACUCGAACCGAUGACCUUUAGAAAGCAAAUCUAAAAUCUGAUGAGUUGAGCUCC